AUUGAACGCUGGCGGCAGGCCUAACACAUGCAAGUCGAACGGUAACAGAAAGCAGCUUGCUGCUUUGCUGACGAGUGUCGGACGGGUGAGUAAUGUCUGGGAAACUGCCUGAUGGAGGGGGAUAACUACUGGAAACGGUAGCUAAUACCGCAUAACGUCGCAAGACCAAAGAGGGGGACCUUCGGGCCUCUUGCCAUCGGAUGUGCCCAGAUGGGAUUAGCUUGUUGGUGGGGUAACGGCUCACCAAGGCGACGAUCCCUAGCUGGUCUGAGAGGAUGACCAGCCACACUGGAAAUGAGACACGGUCCAGACUCCUACGGGAGGCAGCAGGGGGGAAUAUUGCACAAUGGGCGCAAGCCUGAUGCAGCCAUGCCGCGUGUAUGAAGAAGGCCUUCGGGUUGUAAAGUACUUUCAGCGGGGAGGAAGGGAGUAAAGUUAAUACCUUUGCGCAUUGACGUUACCCGCAGAAGAAGCACCGGCUAACUCCGUG
rnacentral:rRNA from 1 species